AAUGAAUGAAGAGAAUGAAUAUCUAAGAAAAUAAAUCCUUAAGAAAAUGAAUGAAUGACCCACUUCAGCAAGGCUCUUAGCAGCGUUCCUCUGGGCCCUUCCGCCAAUCUCCAUUCCUGACCUCUGGUUCUCCCUUUUUUCUUUCCCUUUAUAGAAAAACUUGAUGAGUUUUGCUGCAAUACUGAUUCUCUUUGAACAUCCCUCAAAAUCCCCUAUUCUCGGCAUGGAACGGGGUCCAAACCACCUUGCUCUUGAAGGACCUCUACGUCCAGCAUUGAUCUGAGUCCAGCAAGGUCCCCCUGGAUGUGACCUCCACUCCAGGUUACCGUUUCUGCUUCCUGUUCCUGGGCCUUUCUCACGCCAUUCCCCCUUUACUGAUUCCCUCUUCCUAUUUUCCAGUGGAAGGAAUUCCCAACUAGAGUAAGAAAAUACUCCUUGAAGAGUCAGGUACGUCUGGAUUAAAAUCCUACCUCCACUAUUUACUGCAUGGCCUUGGUUUUUGUUUUGUUUUGUUUUGUUUUGUUUUGUUUACCUUUGUAAGUGGAAUGUUAUUGAAAGACGUGGGCCAAGGGCAUGGCAACAUGUCAAUGUCCUUCCCUACAUCUUCUGGUCUCGGCAGCCUUUCCUAGGAGGUUGGGUCAGUCUUCCCAUCCCCCAAAGGUGGCCCCAGCCCUCUGCCCUCAUUCCUAUGGUACAUUUUCAUCAGUAUCUGCUGUCUUCACGCACUGUAUGGCACUUAAACUUCCCUGAUACCCAUUCCCUAAAUCUCUGUAUCAAUAUCAUCCCUUCUCAAGUAAAUUGUAUCCUCCUACAGGGCAGGGAACUCACCUCACGAUUGUUUUCUCUUCAGUUUGCUCACCAGAAGUAUUCACUAGAUGUUCAAUGCUUUCAUCCGUUCAUCCCUUUAUUUGAUAUUUAUUGAGCACUUGCUAUUUGGAAGGUAAGAUGUUGAGCCCUGUGGUGGAGGACGCAUAGGCAGAAGAAGACAGAUUUGUUCUCAGGGCACUUAUAUCCCUGGGGCUUUAAUCCACGAUGAAAACAGCAUCAUAUAAUUAUAUUGUUCCUCUCACCUGCUGGGGAAUAUGCCACUGCUAAUGAUGUAAUGGUGAACAAAAUCAUCUUACGCUAGAUCUGUAAGAGGGAAACUGCCAAACAGAGAUCAACUCUAAUUUUAUGGGCAUUUAGAAUAAGGAGAAAUGAGAAGGAUGAGGAUUACGAUCCAUAACGAGUAAGAAAAUAUUUCUUACCCAAUUUACACAUUGGAAAAAAAAAAAAAAAGAAAAGAUCAAGAUUGUUAUUCUGAGAUGUCCUGGAUUGACAAUUAUCUGGUGAAUUUUUGUGGUUUAACAUACACCAUCCGUGCUCAGAGCGCUCCGCCAUCUUAAAUUGGUCUCUGUAAACCUCUGUCGGUGCACUUCCUAUCUGCCCCACUGUGGGUGGGUUUGCACCAACUGAACGAGAAUCAGAUCUUGUGGGGGCCCAAUUGGCUUGCUCCCCUAGACUGCUAGGGAGGGCAGGAGAGAGAGGAGGAAGCUCUUCUUCCCUCUGUCCCAUUCUCCUUAGGAGUCACCGCAGCCAGGGACAAUCCCCCUGAGAGCCUCGUGAAGUGGGUGUCUCUGUUCCUGUUUUCCAGAUGAGGAAUUGGAGACUCAAGGAAUAGAAGGUCUGAGCCACCCUUCCUCCAAAGAAAGAUAUAACUACCAGAGAUUCCCCAAGAUGCCCACGUUUUGUGUUAUCUCAUGUACACACGGAUGGGAGAUACAGAACUGAACAGAUAUAACUCCUUCCUCUAUGGGGCUCAAUGCUUACAGUGUAUUUCUUUCUUUAAAAGAAAUCAAUGUGUCAUCUAUAAAAAGAUGUAAAAACUGUGGCCCAUGGGCCACAUUUGGCCAACUGCCUCUUUUUAUUCCACCUGUAAGCUGAGGAUGGUUCUUACAUUUAUAAACAGUUGUCUAUGACUGCUUUCAUGCUACAACCAUAGAGUUGAGCAGCUGCCACAGAGAUCCUAUAGCUCAAACAACCUAAACUCUAGUCGCUGGCCCACUGGAGAAAAAAUGUCAGGUCUGUGAUUUAUAUUCCAUCCUAGAUUACACUAUGAGAGCCCUUGAUGUCCAGGAUAGGGUCACCAUGUGGCAUGGGCUCUUCCUUCUGUGAGCUUGAGUUUAGUUUCUAGUUUCUUAAGCCCAAAGCUUAGUUAUUGAUCUGAGGCAUUCUGCUUUUCUCAUAUAGAUGUUAAAGAUGUAAGUUUCCCCAUAAACACGAUUUAAACUGUAUCCCAUAAAUUUUGAUAUCUGUGUUUUCAUUUUUUUGUAAUUAAAAAUAUUUUCAUA